rnacentral:ncRNA from 1 species
UAUAUUGGUACAAUUUCUUAUGGAAUUGUUUAAAAGGGAAGUUGGGUGAAAAUCCCACACGGUCCCGCCACUGUAAUAGACAGGAUCUUACGUAUGCCACUGUAUCUAAUAUAAGAUAUGGGAAGGUGUAAGAUUUGUAUGCUUAAGUCAGGAGACCUGCCAAUAUAA